UGACCCUAGACGGGAGGUCAUCUUCCCAGUCCUUCUGUGUUUCAUUCUCCUUUAAUCGGGAAUGGAUAGACUUCAGAUUUAUUCUUAAUUUACUUCAGUUGAUGGAUUGAUUGGUGAUUUGAGAGUCAGUUUGGGCGACGGCGGAGGUUUGGUGGAAGCAAAUGCGCGGCGACCUGCUUUUAGAUUUGCCGGUUUUCAUUCUUCCAAAUGGUUGGGGUGCCACGGUGGUCAACUAAAAGUGCCCAUAUAUACAACGCUACAUCAGCCUGAACCAAAUCAUCAUGGACGGCUUUAGCAAUAUCAAAUGCAUUAGAAUUGCCCGCUGGACUUGGUGAAUCUUGUACCUUCUUGUCCUUGGUUUAUGUGACGUUAUAGAGGAGGUAAGGGCCUUCUGUCCCCCAAGGCAUUCUGAUUUCAGGCUAAAUGAAUCAAAACGUAAUGAUAUUAUAUUGUGAAAAUUUCAAAAUAUCUCAAAAUGCCCAAUAUGUUCACUUCAAGUUUUCAAUCCUGGAACAAAAUGACUCUUAACGUAAUUGCUUAACACUAAAAAAGAAAACUAGUAGCCAAAAGGAGGAGAAAAUAAUGCUAUAUUCUUCUAAGAAACUGUAUAUUGAUGAAGUACUGGAUUUAUGUAACUAUGUGUCAUUGUUGACGACCAUUUUCUUUGGCCAUCUUUGUACUAUCUGUUGUUGCACGAGUGAACCAUAGUCAUCAAACAAGUCUUUCCAAGUUCAUGUAGCUCAUCAUCAACUCACUGACAUUAUUAUGCCCAAAAAAGUGAGGCCUAGUUGUAAAGUUCCUAACAUGGGAUCCCUGCCAGAGGAAUCUGGUGGAGAUGAUCCGAAGACUAUUGAUCCAGAUGGGUUUGUUGUGUUGAGAACAGAAUAGCUUGUACUGUACGGAGGCAUCACAGACUCUUUUUUUAAAUCUUGAAUUAGUGCCUAUAAGUAAAGUAAAUAUUCAUCUCAA